rnacentral:rRNA from 1 species
AAAUUGAAGAGUUUGAUCAUGGCUCAGAUUGAACGCUGGCGGCAGGCCUAACACAUGCAAGUCGAACGGUAACAGAAAGCAGCUUGCUGCUUUGCUGACGAGUGGCGGACGGGUGAGUAAUGUCUGGGAAACUGCCUGAUGGAGGGGGAUAACUACUGGAAACGGUGGCUAAUACCGCAUAACGUCGCAAGACCAAAGAGGGGGACCUUCGGGCCUCUUGCCAUCAGAUGUGCCCAGAUGGGAUUAGCUAGUUGGUGAGGUAACGGCUCACCAAGGCGACGAUCCCUAGCUGGUCUGAGAGGAUGACCAGCCACACUGGAACUGAGACACGGUCCAGACUCCUACGGGAGGCAGCAGUGGGGAAUAUUGCACAAUGGGCGCAAGCCUGAUGCAGCCAUGCCGCGUGUAUGAAGAAGGCCUUCGGGUUGUAAAGUACUUUCAGCGGGGAGGAAGGUGUUGUGGUUAAUAACCGCAGCAAUUGACGUUACCCGCAGAAGAAGCACCGGCUAACUCCGUGCCAGCAG